CUAAUGUUCAUUGAAACAGCUCCCGGUGUCUCAGGAUUGCUCAGGUUCAGGUAUUUGUUGAAGAGCCACCUUGAAGUGUUUAAAGCAUCUCCUCUGCUUACAACUGGAAAUAUAUUUCUACGGCUUUGCCAAUCAUUGGGGCCUAGAAGAAAUCCAUCAUGGCAAGCCAACAACGUGUCUAAAUCUUCCACCAGGUCAAGAAAUCUUUGGCUGAGUAGGGUCACUUCAUGGAUAUCUCUUGAUUGGUAUGCCUCAAUGACCUUAAAGAACAGCUGAUUUGCAUAUUUUGCUAACACUUGUCUGGUGAGAUCAACAAGAUCAUACCUAAUAAAGAAUAAAUAGCAUGAAUCUUCUUAUAAAAAAAAAAAAAUAGUAAGAAUCUGGAUUUUUUUUUUGAAGAAGUAAGAAUCUGGAUAUUGAACCUUAACAUACAAUAAGACAACAUUGAGGUACUUAAUGAGGACUGGUAAUUCUUAAGUAAUCAACUUCUCUUACCUAUAUGUACUACUUUUUGGAAGUUCGUUUCCACUAGAUAUAAAUAGCUCCAAUGCAUAAAUUACUUCAGAUGUUGAAUACCAUAAGUGAGGUCGAUCAAAUGAAUCAGUUAUUUCCUUGCUAACUGCUCUCGAGAAUGGCUUGCCAUAGGGGCGAGAGUGUUCAUGCUGAACUGAAAGUAAGGAAGGGUCUACAUCUGGGAAUGCUACAAUGACAUCUCUGUUUUUGUCCUGUUCCCAUACACCAAAAAAUAUUUGGUAAAACUGAAAAUGAUCUUCUUAUUUAUGCAUGCAAAGUUGAAAUUCAACAUAAUAUAUGCAGCUGAGGAUGUUAUUAGUUUACAGAAGUCGUUUGUGAGAUAAAAGGAGAACAGAAAAUUGAGGAGAAAAAGUAAUACAUAAAUCAUUUAUUUUGUUUGACAUAAAUACAACACACCAUAAAAGGAAAAAUGGAAGUUUAGCAAUGAAGGCGAGACAGUAAAUGAACAAUGGUAAAAGUUGAACAGAUAAUUAAAACAAAUAGUCUUAUGUUGUUCGACUGGAAGAAAUUGCUAGCAGCGGGUUAUUUGUAACAACCAACUACUUACAUAGGCUCCAUCAGUGCAAUUGUAUAUGGUAUGAUACAAAACAUUCCAUCCCUCUUGUAUCAAAGGAACUUGUCUUCCAUAUCGUCUGGUUGAAUACAAAUCAACCCAUGCCUGAAAUAGGAACAACCGUAAUGCAUUUCAGUCUGAAAACAAUACCAAGUUAGUGAAAAUAGAAACUAAAUAAAGCAAAGCAUGGAACAAGGGAAGUGCUUUCGACUUCAGACAUUUAAUAGCUUUAUUGUUAAAACCAAAUGACUUAAUAGAUAUGCAUAAUAUCAUUAAAGGGUUCCCAAUGCACAAGGCUCCCAACAAGUGGGGUCUGGAGAUGGAAGAUACACACAGCCUUACCACCGCAAAUGGAGAGACCUUUUACAAAAUAUGAACCCUUGACGUACAGGCUAUCUAACACUUUUAGUUGAAAGUGUGUCCGACACUGCCACAAGUGGUUGCAUUUAAUCACUUUCAUUUUCUCAAAUUAUUACUAGUGUCUAUGUGUCAGUGUCAUGUACGGAUGUCCUUGUGUGUGUCGGUGCUUCACAGCUUCAUGGUCACAAGGCAUCUAUGCCGAAUCAGAAUAACAUUGCCACAAAUAAAAUAAAAAUGCCACAAGGAAUACGUAACAUUGUUCGCCUGGUAAUGCUUAUUUUAUUCAAGGUUAGAGGCAGCUAUAUAACUUCAUAUAUUCUGAUCAUAAUUAUCAGCAAACUGAGGUUCAAUAUUCUGGUUGUUCUAUAGAAAGGGGGUUGCAGACGAGGGAAGAGAGGAAAAAUAGUGUCAGGAUUAUAUUCGAUGUACAAAAUUACUAAGUAGAGGUGAAUAACUAAAUUUGUGGUAGAAAAUUUCUCCUCAACCAAAUGUGGCAAACAAUAUGAGCACAUCUCUAUAUUAAAAAUACUGGGCUCCUACAAUGUGAGGGGUUCCAUAGGUCACGGCCCACGGGAGAUCCCCCUAACAUGAGAACAUGACAUCAGAUCAUAUACAACAGGAUUCUGUUCGAUACCUUCCAUCGACAUUCCAACUCCAACCUUCAGAAAAUCAAGCAGAUUUCAGGGCAGCAGGGACAUUUCCAGAAAAAGCUGGCAGGACUGAAAAGCAAUUAUUCAGUAUUCAAAUUACUUCCAGAAAAGGAGUGGAAGGUGAACUGAAACCAAAUGAAAAAUAUUUAUUUUUUCUCUUUGGUUGUUUUGUAGUUUGCAUAAAAUUUAACAAUAAUUCAUCACUGUCUGGUAGAAGAGUCAAUGAUAGUAAUGACUAAUGAGUACCAGGAGUCAUUCCAAGCUCGUACAUUCUCGCAAGAAUUUUCUUCUGUAAGAUUAAUUGUUGAUCAAACCAGCUCUGUGGCAGUGGCCCACCCCAUCUGCAAUUGAAAUAUCCUUUAAAAUAUAAUUACUUAUUCUCUCAAACUAUGUCUGCUAUAUCCAGGUAUGAUGACAAUGAAACUCUAGCCAAUUCAGAGAGAGAGAGAGUGUGUUUACUAAAAGCAUCAAGCUUGACAAUUUCAUAAUGAAACUGAAAAGUAAUUAUAUAUUCAUUAUUCUAGUUUCCACAUAAAUUACUUUAA